ensembl:snoRNA LOC120103267 small nucleolar RNA SNORD104
GUGAUGUUGACUUCCUAUGCAGAGCACGCGUUAGACUGCCGAGUUGGGCGAUGCAAAUCGGAGUCUGAGC